rnacentral:ncRNA from 2 species
UAUUUGCAGCCGUAUUGAGGUUGUGUGCCGGUAGUUUGCCGGCCGCAUUAAAAGGGAAUUAGGUUAAAAUCCUAAGCUGUACCCGCAACUGUAAGCUGUUUCGCUUGUUAUCAUUCUUCAAACCACUGUUUUUUUACGGGAAGGUCGAUAACAGGACGCAAGCCAGGAGACCUGCCCAAUGCAUCGAGUAACA